AGACUUGCAGUUCCCUGGUGCCUGGUGGCACCUCUGUUGUUGCAUCUCCUCCCUCGAGUGGAGCAGGCUGCAGGCAGGACCUUGAAUCCUCCACAGUGCGUGCCUCCUCAGCUCCCGUCUGAAUCCCGAUCCCAUCACCAGCCACUUGGUUUCCUAGGCUCCUAGCAUUAUCACGACAGCUACACUGGUUGCGUCGAGUGGCCGAUGAGCACUGUGCCACCAUACGACAGCUACAGCG
rnacentral:lncRNA from 1 species